rnacentral:rRNA from 1 species
AUUGAACGCUGGCGGCAGGCUUAACACAUGCAAGUCGAGCGGGGAAGGGUAGCUUGCUACCUGACCUAGCGGCGGACGGGUGAGUAAUGCUUAGGAAUCUGCCUAUUAGUGGGGGACAACAUUCCGAAAGGAAUGCUAAUACCGCAUACGCCCUACGGGGGAAAGCAGGGGAUCUUCGGACCUUGCGCUAAUAGAUGAGCCUAAGUCAAAUUAGCUAGUUGGUGGGGUAAAGGCCUACCAAGGCGACGAUCUGUAGCGGGUCUGAGAGGAUGAUCCGCCACACUGGGACUGAGACACGGCCCAGACUCCUACGGGAGGCAGCAGUGGGGAAUAUUGGACAAUGGGCGAAAGCCUGAUCCAGCCAUGCCGCGUGUGUGAAGAAGGCCUUUUGGUUGUAAAGCACUUUAAGCGAGGAGGAGGCUGCCGAGAUUAAUACUCUUGGAUAGUGGACGUUACUCGCAGAAUAAGCACCGGCUAACUCUGUGCCAGCAGCCGCGGUAAUACAGAGGGUGCGAGCGUUAAUCGGAUUUACUGGGCGUAAAGCGUGCGUAGGCGGCUUUUUAAGUCGGAUGUGAAAUCCCUGAGCUUAACUUAGGAAUUGCAUUCGAUACUGGGAAGCUAGAG